AUGGACAGCGCCGGGUCCUCCUCCUCGCCGCUGCGCGUCGUGAUCGUCCCCUGGCUCGCCUUCGGCCACAUGCUCCCGUACCUGGAGCUCGCCGAGCGGCUGGCGUCGCGAGGCCACCGCGUGUCAUACGUCUCCACGCCGCGCAACCUCGCCCGCCUCCCGCCGCUGCGCCCGGCCGCGGCGCCGCGCGUCGACCUCGUCGCCCUCCCGCUGCCGCGCGUCGACGGCCUCCCCGACGGCGCCGAGUCCACCAACGACGUCCCCGUCGACCAGCGGGAGCUCCACCUCAAAGCCUUCGACGGCCUCGCCGCGCCCUUCGCCGAGUUCAUGGCCGCCGCGUGCGCCGAUGAGGGCACGAGGCCUCACUGGGUCAUCGCCGACAGCUUCCACCACUGGGUCGCCGUCGCCGCCGUCCAGCAAAAGGUGCCAUGCGCGAUGCUUCUCCCGACCGCUGCUGUGAUCGCUAUUGCGCGCGCCGAGACCCGCCCUCGUUACAAGCAGGAGGACAUGGCUCCCAUGUACGGCGACCAAGGCGCAUCGGGUAUGUCCCUCGCCCAGCGCUGGCUGUUGACGAAAGAGAGGUCCGCGCUCGGGGUCAUCCGGAGCUGCGUGGAGUGGGAGCCCGAGUCCUUCCCGCUGGUGCAACCGCUCCUCGGCAUGCCGGUCGUGCCUCUCGGCCUUCUCCCACCGUCACCCGACGGAGGCCGUCGUGCCGGCGGCACCAAUGAAUCAUCAGAGCACGCCAGCGUGCGCUGGCUGGACGCGCAGUCGCCCGGCUCGGUGGUGUACGUGGCGCUGGGGAGCGAAGUGCCGCUGCCCCUGGAGCAGGUACACGAGCUCGCCCUCGGGCUGGAGCUCGCCGGGACGCGCUUCCUCUGGGCUCUCCGGAAGCCCAGCGGCGCCGCCGUCCUAGAUGACGGAGCCGACAUGCUUCCACCGGGUUUCCAAGAGCGCGCUCGCGGCCAGGGGCUGGUGACCACGGGGUGGGUUCCUCAGAUGAGCAUCCUGGCGCACCCCGCCGUGGGCGGGUUCCUGACGCACUGCGGCCAGAACUCGCUGAUCGAAGGGCUCCUGUUUGGGCACCCACUCGUCAUGCUGCCCAUCUUCGGCGACCAAGGCCCGAAUGCGCGCCAAAUGGAGGCCAAGAUGGCGGGGUUGCAGGUGGCGAGGGACGAGAGCAAUGGGUCGUUCGACCGGCAUGGCAUCGCGAGCGCGGUCCGGGACGUCAUGGUUGACGGGGAGGCAAGGAGGAGAUUCGUGGCAGGUGCAGCGAAGAUGCAGGAGGUCGUAGCUAAUUCGGAACGGCAGGAGCGGUACAUCGACGAAUUUGUGCUACACCUUCGAUCUCACGGCGCCGCAAUUGCAACUGAUGGCAAAGCCACUACGGCCGCUACUUCCUGA
rnacentral:rRNA from 1 species